rnacentral:rRNA from 1 species
AUGACAUUCAUCACUGACAUCACUACUCGGUACGGCGUGCCGCACAACAUCACCACCGACAAUGGCACGAACUUCGCCAAAGGAGCACUGGCACGUUUCUGCGCGACGCAGGGCAUCCGACUGGACUUAGCGUCCGUUGCCCACCCGCAGUCAAACGGCCAGGUCGAGCGAGCAAAUGGACUCAUCCUCUCCGGCAUCAAGCCCCGACUGGUUGUACCACUGGAGCGAUCGGCCAGCUGCUGGCUCGAUGAGCUGCCGGCUGUCCUCUGGAGUCUGCGCACUACACCCAACAAGUCAACCGGCUUUACUCCAUUCUUCCUUGUAUAUGGUGCCGAGGCUGUCAUCCCAACAGACAUCGAGUUCGACUCGCCUCGAAUCACCAUGUACACGGAGGCAGAGGCCAAGGAAGCAAGAGAAGACGACGUUGACCUACUGGAAGAAGACCGGCUGUUAGCACUCAGCCGGUCCGCCAUCUACCAGCAAGGGCUGCGCCGCUACCACAACCGUAAGGUCAAGCCAAGAUCCUUCCAAGAGGGCGACCUUGUGCUCCGGCUGAUCCAGCGAACAGCCGGCCAGCACAAGCUCUCGGCCCCUUGGGAAGGCCCCUUCAUCAUCAGCAAGGCACUAGGCAACGACUCCUACUACCUGAUCAAUGCGCAAAAACCAAGAGCACGCAAGAGAGACGACUCCGGCAAGGAGUCGGAGCGACCAUGGAACGGAAACCUCCUGAGAAGAUUUUACAGUUGA